rnacentral:lncRNA from 1 species
CUUUUUUAUUCUAGAGGUGCUUUUCUCCUAUUUGUGCUUUUACCCUUCUUAGAAUCUGGUGUCUGUUAAACUUCAUCUGCGGACCAAGAAGGAAGGGACAACAAAAAUAGGAAGGAUUGACUCAGACCAGGAACAGGACAUUGUCCUGCAGGGUCAGUGGAUUGAGAGAGACCACUGCACUAUCACCAGUGCCUGUGGUGUAGUUGUUCUCCGACCUGCCCGUGGGGCCCGCUGUACAGUCAAUGGCCGGGAGGUCACUGCCUCCUGCCGUCUGACUCAAGGAGCUGUCAUAACCCUGGGGAAGGCACAGAAGUUCCGAUUCAACCACCCAGCAGAGGCUGCUGUCCUGCGGCAGCGAAGGCAGGUUAGCAGGGCUGUGUUUUCUAGGUUAUUGCUGGCCUCCCUGUUUCCACUUUUUAGAUGAAAAGCCAAGCUGGGAGAGGUGGAGGUGAUGACAGCAGCCUCACUGUGCUUUCUUCCUUGUUCAAGGUUGGAGAGGCUGCUGCUGGUCGUGGCUCAUUGGAGUGGCUGGAUUUGGAUGGAGAUCUCGCUGCCUCCCGGCUGGGUCUCUCCCCUUUGCUUUGGAAGGAAAGGAGAGCGCUUGAAGAGCAAUGUGACGAGGACCAUCAGCCACCGAGGGAUGGAGAGACAUCCCACAGGGCCCAGAUUCAGCAGCAGCAGAGCUACGUAGAGGAUUUGAGGCAUCAAAUCCUAGCAGAAGAGAUUCGAGCUGAGAAGGAACUGGAAUUUGACCAAGCUUGGAUUAGCCAGCAGAUUAAAGAAAGUAGGUGUCCACCACUUAAUGUGUCUGCCUCACCUCCUUAUUC